CAAUGUGUGACUGGUGGUCAGAUGUGAACUCUUCACAUCUGGUUGUAAUACUUGCUCAGCACUGAGGUGGUGGAUUAACUAUUAAAAGCACUGGUGUUUUUGCAUGAGGCAUGAAUUUAUAUGUUUAUAUUUGAGUUCUUGGCAGUUAUGCUUCUUGCUUUGCUCAUCUGUUUGUCAAAUUGAUAGUGGGCUACAGAUGUUGGGGGUAAAGCAAUUGACUUGUGGUUUAAGUUUAGAUGCUCUGGCUCUAGUUUCAUUGUGUUGUUAUGACUGUGCGAGCCAUGCUAUGCUGGUAGCUAGUUAGCUGGUGCUCUCUCUGUAUCCUCGUAGCUCUUAGCAGUGUGAGGGAUUUGCAGUGGUAUUUUCCAUUGGCAAGCAGAAGCCGAGUGCAUUAGCGAAUUGAGGUGGAUGCCGGCUCUAGUCGGUGUUGGCACAGCUGCAGAAUCUAUUGUGAUUAACUGCAUGCUUGUCUGCAUUGCAUGUUGCUUGCCUGAUAUACAGUCUGUAUUCAAAAGCGAAAGCAGUCAAAGUGGUUGUUGUCAGCUGGGGAAAACCACCGCAAAAACAAGAUGAAAGUAUGUGCAAGACAAGCAGGAGCUGAUGAAAUGUUUUUAUUGAGAAUUUAGUUGGGAAUAAUGUCCAACAACUUUUUAUUUGUCUGCUCUGAUACUGUGUCAAAAUGGGCACAGUGUAAAAGACUCAGGUCGGUCAUUCUGCUUCACACAACGAGCACAGACUCACGCAAAGUACAGCUCCUGAUCUGAUUGGCCUUUAUCAUUGUUACAGUGUGUAACUUCCAUGCAGUUCUGUUCUAGAUAAAGCCAUUAAAAGUACAAAAUAUCCUAGAUACAGUUCAGUGUCUUGGCUGAAUUAGCAGUUUAAACUUCCAGUAUAGCUAUUAAUCAUGUUUCCAGCUGACAAAGUGGGCAGUAAAUGCCAACAUUUCAUGCCUGUAAAAUAUAUUUAUUCAGCUAUUAAAAUUAAUCGUCUCUUUAUUUCCAGCACUGAUUGAACUCUGACAAGGACACAUUUAGGAAAUUCUUGGCCUCUUAACAAGAAGCGAUACUGCGUUCUGCACAUGAAUCUGUAUAAAUCUAGGGCCAAUGAAAGUGUUUCCUCCAACUAGCAGCAGCAGCCCAGAGCUAUGUUCUGGCUGUGGUUAUGUUUCUACCAUUAGAGCUACACUACAUGCCGCUGUGGCUAAAGCCUAGGAAAACGAUAGAAGAGGAUCGGUCCGCCAAAAAUAUCAACAUAACGUGAAACAAGUUCCCUAAAAGCUUAAAUUAAAAGAAGAUUUUGGUUUCGUUUUCAUUAAAUAGGCCUGAGUCGAGCAGGUGCUUGAAUAAGAAGUCAACCUAACAUGACAACGACCUUUUCAGAGGAGCUGUUACACUCCGAGCAUGACUGCACACCCAUUAGCAGAAGUAAUAUAAGACAUUUUUUUGACCAACACACCUCAAGCUGCCUUGCUGCAUCUCUAGAGAGCGAAAAUGUCUUGAUUAUUGGAGCUGCACAGUAAAGUGUAGCCUCUGUGUGUGCGGAGACAGACUGCCUUAUUAGAGUAGAUGUGUUGAAUGGUAAUAGUUGCGUUGUCCCUAGCACGAGUGCUUCAGAGCAGAGGGGUGCUUUUGUGUCAGUAAAUGGAAAAGAGCAUCUGAGGUUGUUCCGAGAAGCAUGCGCUCGCUUUAUGAGAAGAGGAUGUGGUUUACAGACAUUUAAAGCCACAAGAUUUAAAGUGUCACAUGUCCUGUAGAGUUUUGUAUCAGAGGGCUGGUGGUGGUGUCGAAUUCAUAAUAGUGCGUGUGUCUAGUUAGUUGUGGCACUGAUGGAUUUUAGUCGAGAGCAGAUUUUGAGUUUGAGCUCAUUCUGUGUUUGUUCUACAGACCUGAGGCCUGCACUACGAAGCAGGAUUUGGGGUUAGUGAGGUAACUUCAGGGUUAACUCUGGGUUCUCAGUCCUACGACGGUGGUUCACUUCUUACCGAGGUAGAUCGCCAUGGUAACUUAUGCUGCUCCGGAGCAGGUUAUGUUCCAUAUAAGAGAUCAACUCGUUUAAAAGCACAGUCUACUGAACAAUCAGAGCUGAGUGCGCGGAUCUUAUUAGAAUAUUACACAAAUACGAAGAAGUUUAAGUCAUAAUCCAGGCUAAAAGCAACACAGUUUAAACCGACAAAUGCAGAAAAGACAGCUGGCUGUAUGCUGUGGGUGCUGCUUAACGCUUUGAAUUAUGUUUUUUUAUAUUUCUUUUUUUACUUGCUCUCGAGUCCGUUUCACACCGCUGGAGACGGGGACGCAGCUGAAAGAAGGCUGAAAUAGUCAAAACAUGCCACCAUUUAGACGAAUAUAUCUGACUUUUGAGUAUUCCGUUAAAUUAAUAAGUCUGUUAAUUUACACAUUCACAAAUGGGCAAUUAUUUCUUUUGCCAGCUGUCCUUCCUGCACUUGGCAGCUUCAACUGUGUUACUUUCAGCCUUGGUUAUGUAUUUAACUUUUUCGUAUUUGUCUAAUAUUAUAGUUUGCUCUUUGUUUGUAAAAUAUGACGCUCUACUGACAGUAGACUGGUCCAUGUUUGUGAUUGGUCAGAUGCUGCAAACUACGCCCCGUUCAUGUGAAUGCGUUCGCAGCCAGAUUGAGAAACCCUGGGUUGAUUUACAGAGUUGAUAACCAGAGUCGUUGGACCGCUUAGCGGGAUCUCGUUUGUUAGGGUUAUUGAAGCCAGAUAACGAGAAGAUAACCUGGGUAUGUUGAACUCUCUUCGUAGUACAGGCCUCUGGCUGCAAUUAGUUUGUGAUAUUUACUGGCUAGAAAGCAUGAGGAAAAUAUCGUAUUUUUUUUUUCUAUGUUUUUGUUGUGAUUUGGAAGACAGAAAUGAACUCCAACAAGACGUUGCUUUGUAACCUUCGUUGCUAAGGUGCAUUUUUGCUUAUUUGUAUACAUAUGUAGACAAAAAUAAUAAGGGGAUGGGGUUUUUUUUGUGCAUGAGUGAACUGGAGGUCCAUAGUUUCGCCCAUUGCCAAACAACUACUAUGCCUCCCUGUUUUUUUUUUUUAACAUUUACCGAGAUUAAGGGCUAUAUCAGUCAUCAAUUGUGGGACAAACAAGCAUCCAUCCAUUUCGUCUCCUCUGUGCUGUUCACUUAAAGCCACAGUUGCCGAGAUCCACUAUCUGAACAUGUUCGGUGUUUGGGUUUGGAUGUUCUUUUUUUCAAUGUUGUGGUGGAGCUCAUAUUUAACUAUAGCUGAUUGUACUGUAUAUGACUGUGUGUUUGUUUCAUAGGCUUUAACUUUGCCUUUUUUUUGUUUUGUCGACGGAGGUGCGUGAUGCGACAUCCCAAUGAGCCCAAUGAGAGCGAUUCUUUCUUAUGUAACUGGCUGCAUGUGUGGUUGUGGCAGGAGCUUGGUGCCUCCACCCUCCAUCAUCUUGGUAACAGAAAUUGUAGCCAACCGCUCUGCAUGUGCACCCUUGGAAACAGGAGGGGGCACAUCCACCCAUGCAGACAGAAUAAUCUACCAAAGUCACUGGCAUCUCCAUGCUACAUGAGUCGUCACUAUUAUCACCGGUGUGUGUUGUUGUCAUGACGAUUUGGUUUCCCACUCUCAGGGUUAUCUUUUAACAAAGCAGUGCUAGAGUUUUAAAUUAACACAUUUUCAGUUUCAUAAAGCCAAAGCAGUUCUUUCAUUUCCCCUAUUGUUGUCUUUCUGCAUCACGCAUCUCUGUAGUCUAUUGUACUUUACUCAACUAGGCUAUGCAAAAACAUACUGUAAUAUGCUGCGACCCCCCCCUUUCUCACUUUCUCUGUCGUACGUCUGUGGGCACCAGUACAAGCAAUAUAACUCUGAGUACUCGUGGCACUGCACUGUACUGUAAUCUACUUUGGUUGAUGUGCGUGUACAUGUGUUUGUUUAAGAAAAUGUGUAAACCUGUAAUGCUACUGCGAUGAUGUGAUGAGAACGUAUGCUUCAGUGUCAGCUGAGGGGCUUGAGUUAAAAAGCCAUUAUAUAUUUUCCCUCUUUUUGGCGUUUUCCUGCCUGCCUCCUCAACCACUAACCCUUUCUUCUCCUGACUUAUGGAUAAACCACAUUAUUAAGAUAUUUAAACCUGGAGGAAAAAAGUUGAAUAUAUUGUUUUUUUGUUGGAAUAAUUCAUGUUUGAUAUCUUUAAUCCACUUUUCCCAUCAUCCUCGUUUUUUGUUGCACUAAUUCGAUGUGUUGGUUUUCUCAGUUAAAGCAACAGCUUUCUUCUUUUUUUUCCAUCUUGACGAAUUUUCACUGACUGUUGCCUUUAAAUCCUCAGUUAUUACAACACCAUCCAUUUCAAAACUUUUAUAUAUUAUACAUAUGAAAGACCUCAACAUGGAACACAGUCGGCUUACAUUAGACCAGGACACAUUGGGCUGACACACUUUUUUUCUCAACCAUGAAUUAAAACCAAACACAUGGAGGUGCCGUGGUUGAGCUAUGUGGAUUUUUUUUUUUUUUUUAUGUCAAAAUGAGAAACAUCCUAUUUUAAAAGGAAGCAGACAUCUACAAACACGGAAUUUUUUCGACAUUGUUUUCCUAAUAACUUUAAACAAGCCAAAAUGAGUAAAGUGGAAAACAUUAAAGCACUGAAUGAUAGAUAAAAAUGCUUUAGUAAGAAGUCUGCUGUGUACUCGUUGGGUCAUCAUUUGUAUUUUAUUUUUUUAAUAAAACAGAGAUUGGCACUCAACUGAC